ensembl:lncRNA
CCUGGACACUGUCAUGAAGUUCUAUCUGGGCUUCUGUGUUGCGUUCAAGUGCUGAGGGUCAUCAGACUGGCUCCCUGGUCCCUGAUGCUCUUUCCUCAUGAUCACAAAAUGGCUAUUACCGUUAUGAACGUACAUCUUUAUGCCACGAUCUCCAGGAGUAGAGAGAAGAAGAGAAAUGGAGUGGAGUGGUUAAGAGCAGUGAAUCUGAAGCCUGAUCGCUUGAGGUUGAAUCCUGGCUAGCCCAAUGACCUUGGCCAAGUUCCUAAACCUCGGUGGUUCUCUCUUGCUCUUUGCACCUAGGGAUAACGGUGGAAUGUCCCAUGACUUCUUUAUGAGGUCAGAUACGCUUUAACAUCUUGAGCCUUUCAAAGUGCUUCCCUCAGUCUGGACUGAAGCCUGACCAACACUGGCAGAGAUGGGCCUUUUGGGAAAAUGACAGCGAAAGUCUCACGGACGCAGACUGAAAGAAGUCAAGGCUGCUUUUCUGUCCUUCCUAUCAUGUUGUCUGGCUUAGAUUUUGGUUAGGAAAUUUUAGUUAGAACCAAAAUCAGUUCUGAGUCAGUGGAUUGGGCAUUUCUGAACCUCCCAUGCCUCUGUAAAAUGUGGUUAAUAAUAGCAUCACAUUUAAAGAUUAAUUUAUACAGUGCAUUUAAGAGUGUUUAGAACCAUACGGUAAGUUCUAAACAGUAAAGAGGAAGCACUGGUUUUCCCUACACAUUAUUCCAGAAGAAAGAGGGAUGUUCUGAGAUGGAGAUGAGAGAAUGAGCUAAAGGAUGUACCACUUACCUAAGGCCAGGAGGCAAGUCCUGGAGGAUGGAACUUAGAGGGUGUUUGGCUGACCCAGCCCAUCCAUCUAACUGGGGCGGCCACAUAGUUUUGGUGAAAAGCGCGUGAGAGUGGGAUCUUUGGUAAAUGGGGACUGAGACAUCAGUCCUGAAGGGUUGCUAGAUUAGCAAACUAGUGGAUAAAGCAUGUGAUUGGAACUUGGCACAUAGUAGGGGCUGGAUAAACAGUGCCAAUAAUAAUAGCCUUCUCUUACCACAGCUGGACCCCUUCCUCAGAGUGCUCUGAAUUCAGAGCCUUCCUCAAGCUAAGGAAAUGGCAGUUUGCUUGAAUACAAUGGUCUUUUUAAGGCAGCUCAGAUGUUUAUCUUAUUCUAAUAUUUACCCUUUUGAAUAGGAUUUUCGGGUGGCUUAUUUUUUAUUGCUCUAGGGAGUGGGGUUACACAGUGUUAAGCUUAAUAUCAACCUUUAAGUGAAAAAUGGAUAAAACUGAGAGAAAACCCGCUUCUGACCCAGGGGAGAAAAAGGCUCUGGUAAAAUCUGGCCUGGAUUCUUCUCCACAUCACCUUAGGGCCAGGGAGCCCAGGGGAAUACCUGGAAGUGGUUCAGAUUGGUUUGAACAUCUAUAAAGGUUUAGCAGGAACCCUCUCCAGUCCAAUGGCCAGGAGCAUCUGGAAUGUUCUAACAUCUGAUUGCCUAUUGGCAAUGGUGAUUUAUCCUAAGCCCAGAUAAAUUGCUCUGGAUUGAACCAGAGGUCACACCUCUCACUGCCAUGUGGUCUUAGGUCUGGCCAGCCUUCCAAUUUAAGUCUAAGUUAAAUCCUUCAUCAUUAAUUUUUUUUCCAUUUUGGCUAAAAUCAUCUUCAGGAAAUAGGACUUAAUGAUAACAGUGUCUUCAAGUAAGAAGGACAAUGACCAAAUAAGCCCUGUGGGUGUAGGAAUGUGUUCAGCUAUAAAUACUUCCCCUUAGCACAGAAGACUUCACAGUUGCCUUCAGAACCACCACCCCAAAUUUUCCCUUCAGGGUGUGAAUGACCUCAUCAACAUCCUUCCGCCUCUGAGAGAAGAGCUGCUGGAGACUCCUGGAUGUCUGGCCCAAAGCUGGAGGCUCUGAAAGGGCUGAGAGAUGAUUUGGAAGAUACCGUUUAACUGCUUUUUACUGAUGUGACCAUAUGUCUACCCGGAGAUUGGAGACCUUGGACAGCUGGAGGAUCCAAGAUAACCUCCCUCCUCCUGUCUGGAUUCGCAGAAUAAAACCUUGUCAAAACAACAAAGGAAAAGUGGCCGGACUUCAGUUUAAGAACCCAGACCAAUGAAGACAAGAGAGCUGCUCUUUGUGUGACGCAUUUCCUCACCCAGCCGCAGAUUGCAACAGAGGAGAUGAGAUAAAGAUGAGGAACCUCAACAGAAAGGAUGGAUGUAAACAGUGGGUUUGCUGUGCAGUGACAAGAGCCCAGCUUGGGAAGGGUGUUGAGUGGGGUGAAGAUGUCACAGGAACUCACGAAAGCCAGAGGAGUUCACAGUUCAGAGAAGGUGGGUCUUCUAGCUGCUGAAGGCCACACAGCAACCCUUGUGGACAGUGGGGUCCAUUCUAAGGACCUGUUCGUGAAUCCAACUACUGAAGAGCCUUAACCAGUCUUCCCUCUGGGUUCUUUUCCUUUACAUUCCAUGAGUUGGAGAUGGACCGUCCUAGUGCAGUACUUGGAUGAAUGGCUGGAAUGAAAUGAUGCUUUUUCAGCUCCCAAGAGGAUGUAAAGGGCACAAGGUCACCUUUAUUGAACUGUUUUCCUGUUGGCCAUCCCUUCUGGGCCCCAAGUUCUGCAUUUGCAGCAUCUGGCACAGUGCUGGGCACAUCCUGAGCUUGAGAAAAGGAACCUGGGCAGGAGGAGAUAAGCCAAUAUAUCUGCCUGUUGAGCCUACAGUUAAAAAUAAUUAUAGAGAACAUGGUGAUGCUUCAGAAACUGUCAGGAUCUUUACUCUUUGUCCAGGAAGCCCUGAACUGUCAUUGGAAAUAAGGUGCCAGAACCACAGAUGUCCUUAGGCAGAUGAAGCUGAGUGGAUACUUGGACCUGUAAAGAAGGAAAAGCUGAAUCUGCUCUGGGGUUUCCACAUGACAAGUUCCCCCUACCUUUCUCUGCUGGGUCAGCUUCAUGGUGGCUGUGAAGACCCUGACCCAAGUCUGAGGUAGCUAGAGUCCAGGCAGUGCUGGAAGUCAACAUCAGCAUGGCCCUGGGGUUGCAAGAUGUGCCAAGGACCAACUUGGGGCCUAAGAGUACCAUGAAGAUGCUUGUUGCUCGUAUAAGAGACCUCAAGCUUACUAAAGAUGGGAGUGUGCUGCUUCCUGAAAGGCAAAUUCAACACCGACAAGCCUCCUCAAUAGCCAAAAUAGCAACAGCUCGGGAUGAUAUAACUGUUGAUGGUACUACUUCUAAUGUCCUAAUCAUUGGAGAGCUCCUGAAAUAGGCAGAUCCCUGAAUUUCCGAAGGUCUUCAUCCAAGAAUAAUAACAGAAGGAUGUGAAACUGCCAAGGAAAAGACACUUCGGUUUUUGGAACAAGUCAAAGUAAGCAAAGAGGUGAACAGGGAAACACUUACAGAUGUGGCUGGAACAUCUCUCCACAGUAAAGUUCAUGAUGAACUUGCUGAUGUCCUAGAGGCUGUAACAGAUACCUUUUUGGCCAUUAAAAAACAAGAACGUAUUGACCUCUUCAUAGUUGAGAUCAGGGAGAUAAAACAUAAAUCUGAUACCAAUACAUGUUUAAUCAUAGGUCUUGUUUUGGAUCAUGGGGCAUGGGAUCCUGAUGUGAAAAAGGGAGUGGAAGAUGCAUACACCCUCACAUACACAUGUCAUUAGCAUAUGAAAAAGCAAAAGUGAACUCUGGCUUCUCUCUCUCUCUCUUUUUUAUAGGAGUUCAGAAGAGAGAGAGAAACUGGGGAAAGCAGAGAGAAAAUUCAUUGAAAAUUGGGUCCU